rnacentral:lncRNA from 1 species
CUUCAAACCCAUCGAUUUUCCUCCUCCUUCGUUAUCAUUUGGGUCCUCAUUUCCCUUGGAAAUUGCCCUUUGUUUUGAAUUGGAGCAGAAGAGGGAAGAAGGAAACACACAAAGGCCCAUUUUCUCCUCGCUUCCCGUUUUCCCACUGGGGAGACCCUGUUACAGGCAGCCAGAGUCUGGCCAAGCAACCAGUUCGGGACCAUGAGAAGCUGCCGCUCACACCGACCCCAGCCCAGGGCAGCUUGGUGCCUGCAAGCAGUGCCUGCCGCAGGGUCUACAGCUCAGGACGGAGAGACCAGCCCCGCACAGGCCCCGGAAGAAGAUUGUCUUGUCUCCUUGGCUGCUCGGUAACUCCGGCUCUCGUACACGGAUGGGGAACUCGUUGCUGCAAAUUGUCACCAAGCUCUUCAGGCUACCUGAACCCUCUCUGAGAGUGCGAGUGGCUGCGUCGGGCUGGUGAUGGCUCCGAGGAAGAGGCCGGGGCUGGCAGCUGUCUGGGUACCCACUCUAGGUGGAACCCGGAGGUAGUUAACGUUGUCUAUAUAUACCCUGUAGAACCG